rnacentral:rRNA from 1 species
CCUACGGGUGGCAGCAGUGAGGAAUAUUGGUCAAUGGACGAGAGUCUGAACCAGCCAAGUAGCGUGAAGGAUGACUGCCCUAUGGGUUGUAAACUUCUUUUAUAUGGGAAUAAAAUGUUCCACGUGUGGGCUUUUGUAUGUACCAUAUGAAUAAGGAUCGGCUAACUCCGUGCCAGCAGCCGCGGUAAUACGGAGGAUCCGAGCGUUAUCCGGAUUUAUUGGGUUUAAAGGGUGCGCAGGCGGAAGAUCAAGUCAGCGGUAAAAUUGAGAGGCUCAACCUCUUCGAGCCGUUGAAACUGGUGUUCUUGAGUGAGCGAGAGGUAUGCGGAAUGCGUGGUGUAGCGGGGAAAUGCAUAGAUAUCACGCAGAACUCCGAUUGCGAAGGCAGCAGACCGGCGCUCAACUGACGCUCAUGCACGAAAGUGUGGGUAUCGAACAGGAUUAGAUACCCGAGUAGUC